ACAAAAAUGGUAAAUAGGGAUCUAUUGUGCUAAAUUGUGGGAGAGAGGACAGGCUGGAUCUGAAAAAAAAGAAAAGACACUCUCUCUAGUUACUCUUUAGGAUUUUGAGCACUCCUCUCCGAAGAAUUUCUUCAAAUCGACGAGACUUGAAAGAUAAUCUUUACAAUGGCAAUAGAUCGAAGUUUCCGUGAAGGUGUUUAAUCACGUAGAAGAAUACAAUUUGGAAGAGGAAAAACAGAGAGAAAAUUCAAGCUAAGAGGGUGCAUCAGAUGUAGAUCUCCGUAUCCUCCCAACAUACAAACUCCAAAUCUCUGGCUGUGAAGAAAAGCCUGAUGUUGGAAGAGAUAGAAUGGUUCUUGUUGAAACAAGUAGUGGAUACUUGACUAAUGAACGAAUUCUUUUACCUGAGGAUGCAGUCUACUGGAUUGAAGACAAAAGGUUAUUUGCUAGUUGAUGAAUGGUCGGGGGUUUAAAACUUUUAUUUUUAUUUUGAGUGUUUGUGAGGAUUCUAUUUUAUUCAUUUCCCUUGGAUCUGUAAUAUUUAAAAUGUUAUAAUAAUCUCCCAUCCUCGCUUCUUUUUA